rnacentral:rRNA from 1 species
UAGUCCACACAGUAAACGAUGAAUACUCGCUGUUUGCGAUAUACAGUAAGCGGCCAAGCGAAAGCAUUAAGUAUUCCACCUGGGGAGUACGCCGGCAACGGUGAAACUCAAAGGAAUUGACGGGGGCCCGCACAAGCGGAGGAACAUGUGGUUUAAUUCGAUGAUACGCGAGGAACCUUACCCGGGCUCAAACGCCGUUUGAAUGAUAGUAGAGACAUUAUCAGUCCCUCGGGACAGA